UACGGAGGGUCCGAGCGUUAAUCGGAAUUACUGGGCGUAAAGCGUGCGCAGGCGGUUUGUUAAGCGAGAUGUGAAAGCCCUGGGCUCAACCUAGGAAUAGCAUUUCGAACUGGCGAACUAGAGUCUUGUAGAGGGGGGUAGAAUUCCAGGUGUAGCGGUGAAAUGCGUAGAGAUCUGGAGGAAUACCGGUGGCGAAGGCGGCCCCCUGGACAAAGACUGACGCUCAUGCACGAAAGCGUGGGGAGCAAACAGGAUUAGAUACCCGCGUAGU
rnacentral:rRNA from 1 species